rnacentral:rRNA from 1 species
UACGGGGGGGGCAAGCGUUGUUCGGAAUUACUGGGCGUAAAGGGCUCGUAGGUGGCCAACUAAGUCAGACGUGAAAUCCCUCAGCUUAACUGGGGAACUGCGUCUGAUACUGGAUGGCUUGAGAUUGGGAGAGGGAUGCGGAAUUCCAGGUGUAGCGGUGAAAUGCGUAGAUAUCUGGAGGAACACCGGUGGCGAAGGCGGCAUCCUGGACCAACACUGACGCUCAUGCACGAAAGCGUGGGGAGCAAACAGG